UCCCUGGUGGCUCAGAUGGUAAAGAAUCUGCCUUCAAUGCAGGAGACCCUGAUUCGAUCCCUGGCUAGGGAA
rnacentral:tRNA from 1 species